rnacentral:rRNA from 1 species
GACGAACGCCGCCGGCGUGCUUAACACAUGCAAGUCGAACGAAGAGCGAUGGAAGCUUGCUUCUAUCCAUCUUAGUGGCGCACGGGUGAGUAACGCGUAAUCAACCUGCCCUUCAGAGGGGGACAACAGUUGGAAACGACUGCUAAUACCGCAUACGAUCUAAUCUCGGCAUCGAGGAUAGAUGAAAGGUGGCCUCUACAUGUAAGCUAUCACUGAAGGAGGGGAUUGCGUCUGAUUAGCUAGUUGGAGGGGUAACGGCCCACCAAGGCGAUGAUCAGUAGCCGGUCUGAGAGGAUGAACGGCCACAUUGGGACUGAGACACGGCCCAGACUCCUACGGGAGGCAGCAGUGGGGAAUCUUCCGCAAUGGACGAAAGUCUGACGGAGCAACGCCGCGUGAGUGAUGACGGCCUUCGGGUUGUAAAGCUCUGUUAAUCGGGACGAAAGGCCUUCUUGCGAACAGUUAGAAGGAUUGACGGUACCGGAAUAGAAAGCCACGGCUAACUACGUG